rnacentral:rRNA from 1 species
AUUGAACGCUGGCGGAAUGCUUUACACAUGCAAGUCGAACGGCAGCACGGGGGCAACCCUGGUGGCGAGUGGCGAACGGGUGAGUAAUACAUCGGAACGUGCCCAGUCGUGGGGGAUAACUACGCGAAAGCGUAGCUAAUACCGCAUACGAUCUACGGAUGAAAGCGGGGGAUCGCAAGACCUCGCGCGAUUGGAGCGGCCGAUGGCAGAUUAGGUAGUUGGUGGGGUAAAGGCNCACCAAGCCAACGAUCUGUAGCUGGUCUGAGAGGACGACCAGCCACACUGGGACUGAGACACGGCCCAGACUCCUACGGGAGGCAGCAGUGGGGAAUAUUGCGCAAUGGGCGAAAGCCUGACGCAGCGACGCCGCGUGAGGGAUGAAGGCC